CGAUGCAACAAUUGAAUGACUCGUAUAAAACCGGGAAUACGGCCCGGAAGUUUCUACCCGGAAACCGUAAAUUUCCGGACUACGAGGGUGAACAGCGAAUGG
rnacentral:ncRNA from 1 species